GCCCUUUUAGCUCAGUGGUCGAGCGUUGGCUUUGGAAGCCACAGGUCGGAGGUUCGAGCCCACCAAGGCACA
rnacentral:tRNA from 2 species